rnacentral:rRNA from 1 species
ACGUAGGGACCAAGCGUUGUUCGGAUUUACUGGGCGUAAAGGGCGCGUAGGCGGCUUGACAAGUCACUUGUGAAAUCUCCGGGCUUAACUCGGAACGGCCAAGUGAAACUGUCAUGCUAGAGUGCAGAAGGGGCAAUCGGAAUUCUUGGUGUAGCGGUGAAAUGCGUAGAUAUCAAGAGGAACACCUGAGGUGAAGACGGGUUGCUGGGCUGACACUGACGCUGAGGCGCGAAAGCCAGGGGAGCAAACGGGAUUAGAUACCCCGGUAGUCCUGGCCCUAAACGAUGAAUACUUGGUGUCUGGAGUUAUUAUUGCUCUGGGUGCCGUCGCUAACGUUUUAAGUAUUCCGCCUGGGGAGUACGCACGCAAGUGUG